GCUGGGAGCAGAUGAGGCCCUGGCUGGGCCCUGCAUGGCCCUUUGUUUGAGCUUCUUAUUAAUACUGAGGUUAUUAUUAAAGUCUGGCCCGGCCCCAGCGACAACACUGACUUACCCAUUAGCUGACGGACUGACUCGAGUCAUUAGAAAUGAUAGAGACUAAACCAAAUGUAAUUAACGUUUGUAAUACAUUGGUUGAAGUUGUAUGCUUGACUUGUCGGUGUCAUACUGAGCUUUAACGGCAGCACUGACAAUGAUGACAGCAUUAUGUGUUGUGUUGUACUUCUCAUCCAUUUGUGUUGGCCCUAUUUGACAUGAACUUUUAUCAUCGUUACCAUGUUACUACAUGUUACUAGACAGGCUGGGAGAUAUGAAGUCAAUAUAAAUUUACCUCCUAAAAGAUAAUAAAUUAUUUGGCUUGGUAACCUCUCCCCUUCCUCCAUCUAUUCCUCCCACCACAGACAGUCAGUCAAUCCCAGACAGUCUCAGGCUCUCAGCGUAUGUGUUUUUUAAUCCUUACCAUAGGUAGGGAAGCUUGGCAGAUUCUCAACACUUUUGAUUGAAGGCUAUAUUAUGUGGGGGAAACAUGUAAAAUAGGCUUUUGGGCAUAAAUUAGAGCUCCUCCAUGGUGUAUUGCUGGCUCUAUGUGAGCCAGAGGGCCAUGUUAUAUGUGUGAGUUAUUGCCUUGGACCGCGUGACUCCUGUGGUUGUGUGUACUUCUACUGUGCGUAAGAGGGUCUCGUGGCCAAAGUGUGUGUGUGUGUGUGUGUGUGUGUGUGUGUGUUUUCCUACUGUACCAGGGCCUCACUGUGAAUUUGUGAGAGAGCAGAAGACAGGAGAAACAUUGCACACUGUUUUUGAUGUCCAGUUACACAGACCAGCAGAGAAGACCGAGUAUUAUAGAUGAAUGUGAAUGCUGGUAGAUACUGUAUAUUCCAAGCAGUGUGUGUUUACGCGUGCUCAAUGGGCAGAAGAUGUAAUCUGUAGAGCUCUUUUCAUUUAUUCUAUUAAAAAGGGAACUGGUAUAUGAGGCGAAUUGAAAGCUCCCACCAUGAACAUCAAAUUGACUUUGGAAGGCUCCAGGCAUUCCUGUUCGACAGCACAUUAGCCGCGGCUACUCUCCACCUUGAGAUGAUGGGCAGCCUGCCAGGUAGGGGUUGCCAUGACUCCUAACGCCACCCCUUCCCUCUGCACUCCCUGCCCCCUUGAAUGUGCCAAAUAUUCGGGCAGGCUGGGCUGGCUAAGGUUUUGAUUUAGACAAAAGAUGUCUUAACAAUGUCAGUAGAAUGCUUUAUGGGAAUGCUGUGGCUUUCUGGUAGGAAAUCAUGUGACCUCCUCGGCCAAGGUUUUGUUAUGGUGCCAGGAGGGAGAGAACGAGAGAGGGAGUGAAGGGGGAAACUUGGAAUGCGAUGCCAGCAAAGGGUUUUUAUUCUUUCUUUUUGGGUCUUUCUUUCAUUCUUGUGUUUGCUGAGAAAAUGGCGGACGGUGUGGAGCUGAAAUGAACCCGACUUGCCAAUGGAGCUGGGCACAAUAACACAACUCAACUUUAGUAUUUUUAAAUAUUUUUUUUUGCAUGGCACCCAUGUCUCAUAGCUUUUUGAUUCCUGAUAAAUCCUGCUUCCUAUCUGUCUGUCUCCGGCUGGGUACAAAAGAGAGGUCUGAACAAUCCAAAUCAAGUAGAGAUGAUGAAUGUCAAAUGGUUAGUAGAGAUCUGGAGUGAGAAAUGACCAUGGGUGACUCCUUACCCUGAAAGGCACACGAUCAACAAGGAAGGAAAUAAAUGAAUAUCACAAUCUCUCCAGGACCAGCUGCAUUAGCAAAAGCAUUGUUGACCUCUUGAUCUCAUAGUUGUAGAAUAGUUGACUAUUUUAACAUUUUUUAAGUGUUUUUUUAGCCUCUACAUGUACACAAAAAAAAUAAACCCUAUUGUAAUAAGUAUAUUGAAGGUAUUUUCAGUUAGUUAUUGUUGGACAUAAUCCCCAUACACAUAUACUGAAUAAAAAUGUAAACGCAGCAUGCAGCAAUUUCAAAGACUUUACUGAGUUACAGUUCAUAUAAGGAAAU